rnacentral:lncRNA from 1 species
UCUGACUCUUUCUAGCCUUGCGCAAGCACAAAUGCCCUGUCUUCGUCUUUAGGUUAAUACUGAGGGCUAGAUGCAGCCACGGUGGCAAUAGGGAAUAGGGCUGCACAGAAGAACAGCCACCCCCACCCUUGUGUCAUGGAUUACAUGCUGCAGUGGAUGGUGCUAAUGGGAUGGCGAUAGAAGGAAAACAUUUUCUGCCAGGUCAGGAAGUCCUCCUGCAGGCAGAUGGAAUUUAAAGAUUAUCCAGAAAGACCAUACAAAACUGUCUGUAUCUGGCAGCGAUGUUGAUCAUGGUGGGAGAAGAAGAUCCUGUUUAUAUUUUUCUUGCUGCAAGGGCAUAAAUUAUGGAAUGCAUACGAACCAGACUUCAAUCUCUGUGCACUUCUUGCAGGAGGUCUGUGUUUAUAAACACAUAAACCAUCUGUUUAGUGUUUGCAAGUUAAACACCUGCUUUUUUUGUAAUACAAAUUAAUAUCGAGUUCCAAAAAGCUUGUGAGGUCCAACAAAGCUACACAGGCUGUUGCUUGACUCUUUGCAAGAAAUGUAAAAUACCACAUAAUUAAAGAAAUGCCUGUAAAUGCAUACUGGAUUUUCCUGUUUCAAUUUUGUGAUGACUGCAAUUUUUCAGUAUGUCUUAUAUCAGUUUGCUUGUGUGAUAUAUGUAGCUUCAUUGAGAAAUAAUGGAAAUGACUAUACAUAAAAGAAAAUCAGCCUUAGAUAUAAAUACAUAAUAUGCUGGGGACACAUUAUGUGAAUGUCAAAUUGACAUAUCUGCUUUUUUCAUUUAUAGGAAGCAUCUCCAAGUCACUGUUUAUUUUAGCAAAUCCUUUCCAGCACUAAGGUGGCUACUAGCUUUCCAUAUAAAACACUAUUUGACUUGGAAAGGUGGCUUGGCCUCAGAAUUGCCAGAAAUACUCAGAAAGCCAAGAAGACUGUUUCUCCAAACUUUGAAGAAAAGUGGUUAAAGUAGCUUUUGAGUAUCUGGGUUAGCUGGACAUUUUACAAAAUCUCACAGA